rnacentral:Y_RNA from 1 species
AGCUGGGCCAAAGGUAGUGAGUUAUCUCCACAGAUUGUUCACAGCCAGUGACAGAUCCAACUCCUUGUUCUGCUCUAACCCCUAUUCCCAUUACUGUACUUGACUUGCCUUUA